rnacentral:rRNA from 1 species
GAUGAACGCUGGCGGCGUGCUUAACACAUGCAAGUCGAACGAGAAAUGGAGACGGAAACCUUCGGGCGGAAGGCUUCAUUUCGAGUGGCGGACGGGUGAGUAACGCGUGGGUAACCUGCCUCAUACAGGGGGAUAACAGUUGGAAACGACUGUUAAUACCGCAUAAGACCACAGCACCGCAUGGUGCGGGGGUAAAAACUCCGGUGGUAUGAGAUGGACCCGCGUUCGAUUAGCCAGUUGGCGGGGUAACGGCCCACCAAAGCGACGAUCGAUAGCCGAUCUGAGAGGAUGACCGGCCACAUUGGGACUGAGACACGGCCGAAACUCCUACGGGAGGCAGCAGUGGGGAAUAGUGCACAAUGGGGGAAGCCCUGAUGCAGCGACGCCGCGUGAGUGAAGAAGUACUUCGGUAUGUAAAGCUCUAUCAGCAGGGAAGAAAAUGACGGUACCUGAGUAAGAAGCCCCGGCUAACUACGUG